UACGUAGGGGGCUAGCGUUGUCCGGAAUUACUGGGCGUAAAGGGCGCGUAGGCGGUCUUUUAAGUCUUGUGUGAAAUCCCUCGGCUCAACUGAGGAACUGCACGGGAUACUGGAAGACUUGAGUUCGGGAGAGGGAAGCGGAAUUCCGGGUGUAGCGGUGAAAUGCGUAGAUAUCCGGAGGAACGCCGGUGGCGAAGGCGGCUUCCUGGACCGAUUACUGACGCUGGGGCGCGAAAGCUAGGGGAGCAAACGGG
rnacentral:rRNA from 1 species